rnacentral:rRNA from 1 species
AUUGAACGCUGGCGGCAGGCCUAACACAUGCAAGUCGAGCGAGCGGCAGACGGGUGAGUAAUGUAUGGGAAUCUGCCCGAUAGAGGGGGAUAACUACUGGAAACGGUCGCUAAUCCCGCAUACUCUCCGAUGACCCCAUAUGGGAUUAUCUAGUGGGUGGGGUAAAGGCUCACCUAGGCGACGAUCUCUAGCUGGUCUGAGAGGAUGAUCAGCCACACUGGGACUGAGACACGGCCCAGACUCCUACGGGAGGCAGCAGUGGGGAAUAUUGCACAAUGGGCGCAAGCCUGAUGCAGCCAUGCCGCGUGUAUGAAGAAGGCCUUAGGGUUGUAAAGUACUUUCAGCGGGGAGGCGUUACCCGCAGAAGAAGCACCGGCUAACUCCGUGCCAGCAGCCGCGGUAAUAC